rnacentral:tRNA from 1 species
UCAUCUUUAGUAAAUAUUUAUUAUGUUAUCUUGAUAAGGUAGAGUUUUUGAGGGUGAA